UACAGAGGGGGCAAGCGUUAUUCGGAAUUAUUGGGCGUAAAGGGCGCGUAGGCGGCCGGACAAGUGGAAGGUGAAAUCCCCGAGCUCAACUCGGGAACUGCCCUCCAAACUGUUUGGCUUGAGUCCGGGAGAGGUGAGUGGAAUUCCCAGUGUAGCGGUGAAAUGCGUAGAUAUUGGGAGGAACACCAGUGGCGAAGGCGGCUCACUGGACCGGAACUGACGCUGAGGCGCGAAAGCGUGGGGAGCAAACAGGG
rnacentral:rRNA from 1 species